UUGAGCCGUGUGCGGUGAAAGUCGCACGCACGGUUCUUAGAGGACAAAGGGUCGGUAACGACCCCAAGUUACUCGAC
rnacentral:ncRNA from 1 species